GUGUGUUUGGUCGAUCUAAACAUCAGGAGCGAACAGGAGCUUCCCCACCAAACCCUAACUUGUGCAAAUUGAUCAAAUUGGGGCUUCAAAUCAGUUCCAAAUCGAUUUCCAAGCACGAAAUUGUCAUCUCCAUUGAAAGGGGAGUCAUAAGUUUGAUCUCGUCAAACUAAGUGGGAGCUGGAAAGGAAUGGAUCAAACGGGUCAAGUGCGCAAGGAAAGCUCGAACGGACGCAAACUGUACAUUUUGGAUGCCGGAAGACGAUCAAGCUCAACGAAGAACCGAACACGAAUAAGAUAAAAGCUUCCGCACGUCGUUUCGUCGUAACUUUUAAACGACGAACUCAAUUAUGUUAUGUUGUAUUAUUUUAAAAUUGUAAAGUUUAAACAAACCCGUAUUUUUACAAAGUAUAUGUAGUCAUAAUUACAUGUUGUUUGUCGUAUACUUUACGAAAACCAAUAAAUAAUGACAAGGGUGU
rnacentral:lncRNA from 1 species